GACAGAGGGUGCAAACGUUGUUCGGAAUUACUGGGCGUAAAGCGCGUGUAGGCGGCCCUGCAAGUCGGAUGUGAAAUCCCACGGCUCAACCGUGGAAGUGCAUUCGAAACUGCAGGGCUAGAGUCCGGAAGAGGCGAGUGGAACUCCGGGUGUAGUGGUGGAAUGCGUAGAGAUCCGGAGGAACACCAGCGGCGAAGGCGGCAUCCUGGACUGGUCCUGACACUCAGGAGCGAAAGCGUGGGGAGCGAUCCGG
rnacentral:rRNA from 1 species